UACAGAGGGUGCGAGCGUUGUCCGGAAUUAUUGGGCGUAAAGAGCUCGUAGGCGGUUUGUCGCGUCUGCCGUGAAAGUCCGGGGCUCAACUCCGGAUCUGCGGUGGGUACGGGCAGACUAGAGUGAUGUAGGGGAGACUGGAAUUCCUGGUGUAGCGGUGAAAUGCGCAGAUAUCAGGAGGAACACCGGUGGCGAAGGCGGUUCUCUGGGCCUUACCUGACGCUGAGGAGCGAAAGCGUGGGGAGCAAACAGG
rnacentral:rRNA from 1 species